ACUCACCAGGUCAGGACACGGUAAGGAUUGACGGACUGAAGGCUCUUUUCUCGAUUCCGUGGAAAGUGGUGCAUGGCCGUUUUGGUUGGUGGAUCGAUCCGUCUGGUUAAUUCCGUUAACGAACGAGACCUCGGCACUCCGAAUAGCGCGGCGGACGUCGCGGCCUCCGGGCCGUCUUCCGCACGAGCUUCUUAGAGGGACCGUCCCCCGCCGGGGAAGGAGGUGCGAGGCAACGACAGGUCUGUGAUGCCCUUAGAUGUUCUGGGCCGCACGCGCAUUACACUGACGCGUCCAACGGGUGACUCCCGACCCGAAGGGGCCGGGGAAUCCGCAAGGCGCGUCGUGAUGGGGAUUGAACGUUGCAAUUGUUGUUCACGAACGAGGAAUUCCUAGUAGGCGCGGGUCAUCAACCCCGCGCCGAUUACGUCCUGCCCUUUGUACAC
rnacentral:rRNA from 1 species